rnacentral:misc_RNA from 1 species
UGCGGCUGGAUCCCCUCCUUUCUAAGGAGACUCGCCACAUCCCGUGGCAAGAAUCCCAGUUGAUGCACUCGUUGGUCGUCGCCGAGCCUGCCGGCUCGGAUACCGGAGCUCCCGCUCGUCGGGAUCAAAGGUCAUGCAGUGUGAAGCUGCAUCGAUCGACUACCGGUGUGUUCCUCUCUUCCGUUGUGAGGGAGUGCUGCCGUCGGCCAUUGGCCGGCGGUCGUUCCCUUUCAGGGCGCUUUUAUCGCGCCCACACGGCCUUUGAGAAUUUCAUAGCGAGCACGAGCAUCUUCGUAGAAUAAGAAUCCCAAGCUACAAAGGGUCAACGGUGGAUGCCUUGGCAGCAAGAACCGAUGAAGGACGUGGGAGGCUGCGAUAAGCCACGGGUAGGUGCCUACCAACCUGUGAUCCGUGAAAGGCCGAA